rnacentral:rRNA from 1 species
GAUGAACGCUAGCGACAGGCCUAACACAUGCAAGUCGAGGGGUAACAGGGGAGCUUGCUCCCGCUGACGACCGGCGCACGGGUGAGUAACGCGUAUGCAACCUUCCCGCAGGAUCGGGAUAGCCCCCCGAAAGGGGGAUUAACACCGGAUGUGGUGCGUCGGGGGCAUCCCCGACUCACUAAAUGCGAAGCUUGCGGAUGGGCAUGCGUCCCAUUAGGAAGCCGGCGGGGUAACGGCCCACCGGUCCUACGAUGGGUAGGGGUUCUGAGAGGAAGGUCCCCCACGCUGGUACUGAGACACGGACCAGACUCCUACGGGAGGCAGCAGUGAGGAAUAUUGGUCAAUGGGCGAGAGCCUGAACCAGCCAUGUCGCGUGCAGGACUACGGCCCUACGGGUCUUAAACCGCUUUUGCCGGGGGAUAAAGGGCGCCACGCGUGGCGUCUUGCAGGUACCCGGCGAAUAAGGAUCGGCUAACUUCGUGCCAGCCGCCGCGGUAACAC